CCCUUAGAUGUUCUGGGCCGCACGCGCGCUACACUGACGAAGUCAGCGAGCAUCUCCUACGCCGAAAGGUGCGGGGAAUCUUGUGAAACUUUGUCGUGCUGGGGAUUGAUUUUUGAAAUUCUUGAUCAUCAACGAGGAAUUCCUAGUAAGCGCAAGUCAGCAGCUUGCGUUGAUUACGUCCCUGCCCUUUGUACACACCGCCCGUCGCUACUACCGAUUGAAGAGUUAGGUGAAUUGUUUUGAUCGAUAAGAUUUGACUAUGGUCAACUCUCGUUGUGAAAUUCUGUGAAUCUGACUGUUUAGAGGAAGGAAAAGUCGUAACA
rnacentral:rRNA from 1 species